rnacentral:rRNA from 1 species
CGGCGCCCCAAGUGGCGAUCGCGAUUAUUGGGCCUAAAGCGUCCGUAGCCGGAUCGAUAAAUCCGCUGUGAAAUCGUUGCGCUCAACGUAACGGCGUGCAGUGGAGACUGUCGAUCUCGAGACCGGGAGGAGUCAGACGUAUGCAGUGGGGACUGGUAAAAUGGUAUAAUCCACUGUAGACGACCGAUGGCGAAGGCAUCUGACCAGAACGGAUCUGACGGUGAGGGACGAAAGCCAGGGGAGCGAACCGGAUUAGAUACCCGAGUAGUCC